UACGAAGGGGGCUAGCGUUGUUCGGAAUUACUGGGCGUAAAGCGCGCGUAGGCGGUGAUCUUUGUCAGAGGUGAAAGCCCGGGGCUCAACUCCGGAAUUGCCUUUGAAACGGGAUCGCUUGAGUCCGAGAGAGGAUGGCGGAAUUCCUAGUGUAGAGGUGAUAUUCGUAGAUAUUAGGAAGAACACCGGUGGCGAAGGCGGCCAUCUGGCUCGGUACUGACGCUCAGGCGCGAAAGCGUGGGGAGCAAACAGG
rnacentral:rRNA from 1 species